UACAGAGGGGGCAAGCGUUGUUCGGAAUUACUGGGCGUAAAGGGCGCGUAGGCGGGCUCGCCAGUCAGGGGUGAAAGCCCACGGCUCAACCGUGGAAGUGCCUUUGAUACUGCGAGUCUCGAGGGAGGUAGGGGCGUGCGGAACUUCCGGUGGAGCGGUGAAAUGCGUAGAUAUCGGAAGGAACACCGGUGGCGAAAGCGGCGCGCUGGACCUCUUCUGACGCUGAGGCGCGAAAGCCAGGGGAGCAAACGGG
rnacentral:rRNA from 1 species